rnacentral:rRNA from 1 species
GACGAACGCUGGCGGCGUGCUUAACACAUGCAAGUCGAACGGAAAGGCCCUGCUUUUGUGGGGUGCUCGAGUGGCGAACGGGUGAGUAACACGUGAGUAACCUGCCCUUGACUUUGGGAUAACUUCAGGAAACUGGGGCUAAUACCGGAUAGGAGCUCCUGCUGCAUGGUGGGGGUUGGAAAGUUUCGGCGGUUGGCGAUGGACUCGCGGCUUAUCAGCUUGUUGGUGGGGUAGUGGCUUACCAAGGCUUUGACGGGUAGCCGGCCUGAGAGGGUGACCGGCCACAUUGGGACUGAGAUACGGCCCAGACUCCUACGGGAGGCAGCAGUGGGGAAUAUUGCACAAUGGGCGGAAGCCUGAUGCAGCAACGCCGCGUGCGGGAUGACGGCCUUCGGGUGGUAAACCGCUUUCGCCUGUGACGAAGCGUGAGUGACGGUAAUGGGGAAAGAAGCACCGGCUAACUACGU